GCUGUAGCAGUAGAAGCGGACGCCGUUCAUGAGGCCCUGGUAGAGGAGGCCGGCAGCCAGCCCCUUCUGCAGCCCGCACAGCCCAUCCGCACGGGCCACCGCGACGACGGAGGCCACAAAGCCCCGGUAGAGCCGAGGGUGGGGAUAUGGACACCCACUGCAGAAGUUCCUUGAAGAAUUGUAGAUGUGUAAAGAACACCUUUACAGAAGAAGGGGACGACAGUGGAUGAGAUGGUUGGAUGGCAUCACUGACUCGAUGGACAUGGGUUUGGGUGGACUCCGGGAGUUGGUGAUGGACAGGGAGGCCUGGCAUGCUGCGGUUCAUCGGGUCGCAGAGUCAGACACGACUGAGCGACUGAACUGAACUGAAAGAACGCCUAGCACAGUACUUCACCCAAUCGCCCUGGGUGGGUAGGAGAUGGAAAAAUAAGAGCCACUGUGUCUCACCGAG